CCUACGGGAGGCAGCAGUGGGGAAUAUUGGACAAUGGGGGAAACCCUGAUCCAGCGACGCCGCGUGAGUGAAGAAGUAUUUCGGUACGUAAAGCUCUAUCAGCAGGAAAGAAAAUGACGGUACCUGAAUAAGAAGCCCCGGCUAACUACGUGCCAGCAGCCGCGGUAAUACGUAGGGGGCAAGCGUUAUCCGGAUUUACUGGGUGGAAAGGGAGCGUAGACGGCAGCGCAAGUCUGGAGGGAAAUGCCGGGGCCCAACCCCGGAACUGCUCUGGAAACUGUGAAGCUGGAGUGCAGGAGAGGUAAGCGGAAUUCCUGGUGUAGCGGUGAAAUGCGUAGAUAUCAGGAGGAACACCGGCGGCGAAGGCGGCUUACUGGACUGUAACUGACGUUGAGGCUCGAAGGCGUGGGGAGCAAACAGGAUUAGAUACCCUAGUAGUC
rnacentral:rRNA from 1 species